rnacentral:rRNA from 1 species
AUUGAACGCUGGCGGCAGGCCUAACACAUGCAAGUCGAGCGAGCGGCGGACGGGUGAGUAGUGUAUGGGGAUCUGCCUACUGGCGGGGGAUAACUACUGGAAACGGUAGCUAAUCCCGCAUACCAUCAUCUGACCCCAUAUUGGAUUAGCUAGUAGGUCAGGUAACGGCUUACCUAGGCGACGAUCCCUAGCUGGGCUGAGAGGAUUAUCAGCCACACUGGGACGGAGACACGGCCCAGACUCCUACGGGAGGCAGCAGUGGGGAAGAUUGGACAAUGGGCGAAAGCCUGAUGCAGCCAUGCCGCGUGUAUGAAGGAGGCCUUCGGGUUGUAAAGGACUUUCAGUCGGGAGGCGGUACCGACAGAAGAAGCACCGGCUAACUCCGUGCCAGCAGCCGCGGUAAUAC